rnacentral:rRNA from 1 species
AUUGAACGCUGGCGGCAGGCCUAACACAUGCAAGUCGAACGAGUGGCGGACGGGUGAGCAAUGUCUGGACAACUGCCUGACGGAGGGGGAUAACUACUGGAAACGGUAGCUAAUACCGCAUACCAUCGGAUGUGCCCAGGUGGGAUUAGCUAGUCGGUGGGGUAACGGCUCAUCAAGGCGACGAUCCCUAGCUGGUCUGAGAGGAUGACCAGCCACACUGGAACUGAGACACGGUCCAGACUCCUACGGGAGGCAGCAGUGGGGAAUAUUGCGCAAUGGGCGCAAGCCUGAUGCAGCCAUGCCGCGUGUGUGAAGAAGGCCUUCGGGUUGUAAAGUACUGUCAGCGGAGAAGCGUUACCCGCAGAAGAAGCAACGGCUAACUCCGUGCCAGCAGCCGCGGUAAUAC